GCGGAUGUGGCGCAGUGGUAGCGCAGCUGCUUCCCAAGCAGCGGGCCGCGGGUUCGAAUCCCGUCAUCCGCU
rnacentral:tRNA from 1 species